rnacentral:rRNA from 1 species
UACAGAGGGUGCGAGCGUUAAUCGGAAUUACUGGGCGUAAAGCGCGCGUAGGCGGCUUUUCAAGUCGAUUGUGAAAUCCCCCGGGCUUAACCUGGGAACUGCAGUCGAGACUGUCUAGCUAGAGUAUGGGGAGAGGGAAGUGGAAUUUCAGGUGUAGCGGUGAAAUGCGUAGAUAUCUGAAGGAACAUCAGUGGCGAAAGCGACUUCCUGGACCAAUACUGACGCUCAUGUGCGAAAGCGUGGGGAGCAAACAGG